AGCGAAUGGAUUGAGAGCUUGCUCUCAAGAAGUUAGCGGCGGACGGGUGAGAAACACGUGGGUAACCUGCCCAUAAGACUGGGAUAACUCCGGGAAACCGGGGCUAAUACCGGAUAAUAUUUUGAACUGCAUGGUUCGAAAUUGAAAGGCGGCUUCGGCUGUCACUUAUGGAUGGACCCGCGUCGCAUUAGCUAGUUGGUGAGGUAACGGCUCACCAAGGCAACGAUGCGUAGCCGACCUGAGAGGGUGAUCGGCCACACUGGGACUGAGACACGGCCCAGACUCCUACGGGAGGCAGCAGUAGGGAAUCUUCCGCAAUGGACGAAAGUCUGACGGAGCAACGCCGCGUGAGUGAUGAAGGCUUUCGGGUCGUAAAACUCUGUUGUUAGGGAAGAACAAGUGCUAGUUGAAUAAGCUGGCACCUUGACGGUACCUAACCAGAAAGCCACGGCUAACUACGUGCCAGCAGCCGCGGUAAUACGUAGGUGGCAAGCGUUAUCCGGAAUUAUUGGGCGUAAAGCGCGCGCAGGUGGUUUCUUAAGUCUGAUGUGAAAGCCCACGGCUCAACCG
rnacentral:rRNA from 1 species